rnacentral:misc_RNA from 1 species
GAUGAAGAACGUAGCGAAAUGCGAUAAGUAAUGUGAAUUGCAGAAUUCAGUGAAUCAUCGAAUCUUUGAACGCACAUUGCGCCCGCCAGUAUUCUGGCGGGCAUGCCUGUUCGAGCGUCAUUUCAACCCUCAAGCCCCCGGGCUUGGUGUUGGGGAUCGGCGUGCCCUCGCGGCGCGCCGUCCCCUAAAUCUAGUGGCGGUCUCGCUGUAGCUUCCUCUGCGUAGUAGCGACACUCGCACUGGAUCGCAGCGCGGCCACGCCGUUAAACCCCCCACUUCUGAAAGUUUGACCUCGGAUCAGGUAGGAAUACCCGCUGAACUUAAGCAUAUCAAUAAGCGGAGGA